rnacentral:rRNA from 1 species
UACGGGAGGCAGCAGUGGGGUAAUAUUGCACAAUGGGCGCAAGCCUGAUGCAGCCAUGCCGCGUGUAUGAAGAAGGCCUUCGGGUUGUAAAGUACUUUCAGUCGUGAGGAAGGUGUUAAGGUUAAUAACCUUAGCAAUUGACGUUAGCGACAGAAGAAGCACCGGCUAACUCCGUGCCAGCAGCCGCGGUAAUACGGAGGGUGCGAGCGUUAAUCGGAAUUACUGGGCGUAAAGGGCACGCAGGCGGUUAAUUAAGUUGGAUGUGAAAUCCCCGGGCUUAACCUGGGAAUGGCAUUCAAGACUGGUUAGCUAGAGUCUUGUAGAGGGGGUAGAAUUCCAUGUGUAGCGGUGAAAUGCGUAGAGAUGUGGAGGAAUACCGGUGGCGAAGGCGGGCCCCUGGGACAAAGACUGACGCUCAUGUGCGAAAGCGUGGGGAGCAAACAGGGAUUAGAUACC